GUCUUUUUGUUAAAAAUUUAAAGUCGGGCCUGCCCACUGAAGUUUUAAAUGGCCGUGGUAUUUUGACCGUGCUAAGGUAGCAUAAUCAUUAGUUUUUUAAUUGAAAGCUGGAAUGAAGGGUUUGAUAAAAAAAUGACUGUCUCUGUUUAAUUUUAAUAGAAUUUUAUCUUUAAGUUCAAAAGCUUAAUUUAUGUUAAAAGACGAGAAGACCCUGUAGAGUUUAAUAAUAUAGUAUAAUUUUUAUUUUAGAAUUAAUUUAUUUAUUAUUUAUAUUAUUUGAUUGGGGUGAUUGAAAAAUUAAAUUAACUUUUUUUAUAUUAAACCAUUAAUUUAUGAUUAUUUGAUCCAAUUAUUUUGAUUAUAAGAUAAAAUUACCUUAGGGAUAACAGCGUAAUUUUUUUAGAAAGUUCAUAUUAAAAGAAAAGAUUGCGACCUCGAUGUUGGAUUAAAAUUAAAUUUUGGUGUAGAAGCUAAAAAGUUUAAGUCUGUUCGACUUUUAAAAUUUUACA
rnacentral:rRNA from 1 species